GUUGCUAGAUCUUGCUAAGAAAAGAGGACAGGGGAGAAGUGGGAUUUGGGGUGGAGUGCGGUGGCUCCAGGCUCCCGACGGCGGCAUGUCAUCCAGCUCGACCACACGUGCCUGCAGCUCGCCGCCGUCAUCGAUUGGAUGGCCAUGGAGUUGGGUCCACUUGAACAUGAGGGGUGGCACUCCUCUAGGUAAUCACUCAUCUUCCUCUCCUUCUCCUUCCUUCCCAGAUCUUGGUCUGCUAACCUCCAGCAAUGGCAUGGAUUCUUUAUGGAGAUUUGCUAUGGCUAUGAGAAGGGGAUGAUUAAGGUCACCUGACCUUUCUCCGUCUUUUCCGGUGUAGAAAUUUUCUCUUGGAGAGAAGGAUUUUUUGCCCCCAAGCAGCAAGGCUUCGAGGCCACCGGAGAAAAUAAGAGAUUCGUUUCACUGAGUGGCGUUGCUCUCCAGUUCGUGGCGCUGGCCUAGAGCUGUGUCGUCGGGUUGGACGGCCAUGUUCUUCAUAGUGUUCUAGGAUAUAACUUAUGUCACUUGCCAUUGAUGUGCCUUGCGUUGUUUUAGGGAAUCGAACCUAUUUUUUUAGUUGACAUUCUGCCCAACUUUGAUUAUUGUCUCUUCAAGACAACCGUAAUAAUUAUAUGAAGUUUCCUAUAGCAAAAAGUGUUCAAUAUUUGUUGGAUAAAAGGUGUGUUCUUUCUAUAUGUUGUUACCAUAUAUUAGCAACUUAUAUUAAUAAUAGGUGUAUUUAAGACAAAGAAAGAAGGCUUGCAUGUAUUCACUGACUUUGGCCCAUAUGUGUUAAUUGAUAUGCAAUAGAUUUUAGUUUUUUCACAUGUGUUGUGGGAGAUGCCUAUAACACUGAAGCUUUUCUCUUUGUUCUCUUCAACUGAAAAGGCUGUAGGAUAGAAGGGUUGUUUCCAAGAACAACAUAAAACUCACAAAAGUGCAUGUAUGAAUGUGUUUCGAAUAAUUACAAUUUGACAUGUUUCUCAUAGUGCUAAGUUUUGACCCUUAUCUAAUAAUAAUAAUUGUCCGCCUUAUACUGAUCUUUGUCAAGCAUUAUUUCUCUAUCUCAGUAAACAUAAAUGGUUUGCUUGGUGCUUCUGAGAUCUUCCCAUCCAAUAAGUUUAGCAAUUUUUACAUACCACUCUCAUUAAGAGUAAAUAUAAUAUGGAAGUUCUCAUUCAAAUUGGCAGAAUAUGCUUACCAGGUGUUAUGGUUUCUUGAUAUGUACCACAAUUUUCGCAGUAGGACUUUCCACUUUCCUUUGUAGUUAGUUUGUGUCAAUCAGAAUUUGAUCAUUUGAAUAUUUUUGUGUAAUAGAUUAUUAUACAUAUUGUUGUGAAAAACAAAAUCGUAAAAAAAUCACCCAAAAACUUAGCAUCCCGAAGAAGUUGAGAGACAAAUAAUUUAGAUAUGACUCCACUAUAACUGAUAUGACUCAAUUGUCAGAAAAGCACUACAGGUCUGAGAGUCUCGUUUCCUCAAGAAGUGGUGAUAUCAUAUCUUAGAAGAAGUUUGAACCAUCACCUGACUUGUCUUGGUUUUGUGCCUCAUUCCAGU
rnacentral:lncRNA from 1 species